GNAGGGUACGAGCGUUGUCCGGAANNANUGGGCGNAAAGAGCNCGNAGGNGGUNGGNCACGNCUGCNGUGGAAACGCAACGCUUAACGUUGCGCGUGCAGUGGGUACGGGCUGACUAGAGUGCAGUAGGGGAGUCUGGAAUUUCCUGGUGUAGCGGUGAAAUGCGCAGAUAUCAGGAGGAACACCGGUGGCGAAGGCGGGACNCUGGGCUGUAACUGACACUGAGGAGCGAAAGCAUGGGGAGCGAACAGGAUUAGAUACCCUGGUAGUCCAUGCCGUAAACGUUGGGCACUAGGUGUGGGGGGCAUUCCACGUUCUCCGCGCCGUAGCUAACGCAUUAAGUGCCCCGCCUGGGGAGU
rnacentral:rRNA from 1 species